rnacentral:lncRNA from 1 species
GGCUAUACAAAGAAAAGGUGAAUGCACAUCAGCUGGAGAGGACGAAAUAGGUCUAAUACUGAUCCUGGCCCUCCCUUACUUCUCUAGAAGCAGUGCACCUCUUUCCCGGGGAAAUUGCAAGGAACUGUGUGUAGGGCCCACCGGCUUUUAUUCCUUCCCUGGUUUGGGGAUUCUCUCUCUCCCUCUCCUGCCCCGUGGUUGCAAAUGCGGGUCUGGAAGACAGCAAUGAAUCUGCAAGUAAACAGGUUUGGAAGACUUCAGAAAAUUCAGCUAUGUUUCUCAGAGGUCUGAGCCCAGCUCUCUCGUCUUCCACCUUAUAUCAUUUCAAAAUAAGGCAAAUUCCAUGGAGAAAAUCUGAUUAUUGUCAGGCCUCUGAGCCCAAGCUAAGCCAUCGUAUCCCCUGUGACCUGGAAGUAUACAUCCAGAUGGCCUGAAGCAAGUGAAGAAUCACAGAAGAAGUGAAAAUGGCUGGUUCCUGCCUUAACUGAUGACAUUCCACCAUUGUGAUUUGUUCCUGCCCCACCUUAACUGAGCAGUUAACCUUGUGAAAUUCCUUCUCCUGGCUCAGAACCUCCCCCACUGAGCACCUUGUGACCCCCGCCCCUGCCUGCAAGAGAAAAACCCCCUUUGACUGUAAUUUUCCACUACCCACCCAAAUCCUAUAAAACGGCCCCACCCCUAUCUCCCCUUGCUGACUCUCUUUUUGGACUCAGCUCACCUGCACCCAGGUGAUUAAAAAGCUUUAUUGCUCACACAAAGCCUGCUUGGUGGUCUCUUCACACAGAUGCACAUGACAAUUAUGUGUUUUGGGGAUGAUCUUAUUGUGUAGAAUAUUGCAGGGGUUCUUUGUAUUUCCUGAUUUUGACUGUUGGCCUCUCUAGUGAGGCUGGGGAAGUUUUCAUGAACCGUAUCCUGAAAUACAUUUCCCAAGUUGUUUACUUACUCUCUGUCCCUUUCAGGGAUGCCAGUUAUUCAUAGAUUUGGCCUCUUUAUGUAAUCCUAUAUUUCACAGAGGUUUUGUUCAUUCAUUUUCAUUCUUUUUUUUUUUACAUUUUUGUCUGACUGUCUUGUUUCAGAGAGCUAGUCUUCAAGUUCCAAUAUUCUUUCCUCAGCUUGAUUCAUUCUGCUGUUAAUACUUGUGAUUGAAUUGUAAAAUUCUUGUAGAGAGUUUUUCAGCUCUCUUUGAUCAGUUAGGCUUUUUUUUUUUUUUUUUUUUUUUUUUUUAUACUGGCUACUUUGUCUGUCAGCUUCUGUAUUGUUUUACUGUGAUUUUUAAUUUCCUUGGAUUGGGUUUUUCCAUUCUCCUGAAUCAUGAUGAUCUUCAUUCCUAUCCAUAUUCUGAAUUCUAUUUCUGUCACUUCAGCCAGUUCAGCCUGGUUAAGAACCCUUGUUGGAGAACUAGUGCAUUCAUUUGGAGGACAUUAGACAUUCCAGCCAUUUGAGUUGUCAGAAUUCUCGCAUUGGUUCUUUCUCAUCUCUGUGUGUGGGUGCUCCUUUAACUGCUGGGCUGCCUCUGAUUGAAGUGGUCAGGCAGGGGCACUCUGAUUGAAGUGGUCAGGCUGGAUUCCAGGUCAGCCAUCCCUGCCCAGUGAGGAGAGGUGAGAACCAGGACCUGAGUAGAGAACAGUCUGGCUACUUUUCUAUGAGGUGAGUGCUCUAUGCUAGGGGUCUAGACCAGCCCUCAUCCCCAUGGACUCUCCAUAGCCCAGAGGCAGCAAGGGCAAGGGCUGUGAGAUACCACAGAUGGCAGCCUGCCUCUCCCACUGGGAGGUCUGUCUUAGAGAGUUGCAGAGCUGCUACUGGCUCAAUAACCCUGGCACAAGGUGGCUGGACACCCAGACCAGAAGGCCCUGCCCACUGAGGAGAUAUGAG